rnacentral:rRNA from 1 species
AGUGAAGAGGGAAGAGCCCAAGAUUGAAAGCUGGCGCCUUCGGCGUCCGCAUUGUAAUCUCAAGAAGUGUUUUCCGCUUCGGACCAUGCCUAAGUCCCUUGGAAAAGGGCAUCAUAGAGGGUGAUAAUCCCGUACAUGGCAUGGAGCGCCCGAAGCUUUGUGAUACGCUUUCUAAGAGUCGAGUUGUUUGGGAAUGCAGCUCAAAAUGGGUGGUAAAUGCCAUCUAAGGCUAAAUAUUGGGGAGAGACCGAUAGCGAACAAGUACAGUGAUGGAAAGAUGAAAAGAACUUUGAAAAGAGAGUUAAACAGUACGUGAAAUUGCCAAAAGGGAAGGGUAGGAGGUCAGAGAUGCGUCGCAGGAUUCAGCCUUGCUUUUGCUUGGUGUUUUUCCUGCGUUGCAGGCCAACGUCGGUUUUGGGCACUGGAGAAGGGUAGGAGGAACGUGGCACCUCUCGGGGUGUGUUAUAGCCUCCUACUGGAUACAGCGACCGAGACCGAGGAACGCAGCGUACUCGUAAGAGCGGGCCUUUUGGCACCUUUACGCUUAGGGCGUUGGCAUAAUGGCCCUCUACCACCCGUCUUGAA